rnacentral:rRNA from 1 species
CCUACGGGAGGCAGCAGUGAGGAAUAUUGGUCAAUGGCCGUAAGGCUGAACCAGCCAAGUAGCGUGAGGGAAGACUGCCCUAUGGUUUGUAAACCUCUUUUAUGCGGGGAUAAAGGUGUCCACGUGUGGAUGUUUGCAGCUACCGCAUGAAUAAGGACCGGCUAAUUCCGUGCCAGCAGCCGCGGUAAUACGGAAGGUCCGGGCGUUAUCCGGAUUUAUUGGGUUUAAAGGGAGCGUAGGCCGGUCUUUAAGCGUGCCGUGAAAUUUUGUGGCUCAACCAUGAGAGUGCGGCGCGAACUGGUGUCCUUGAGUGAGCGGAAGGCAGGCGGAAUUCGGGGUGUAGCGGUGAAAUGCUUAGAUAUCACGAAGAACCCCGAUUGCGAAGGCAGCCAGCCGCAGCGUUACUGACGCUGAAGCUCGAAAGCGCGGGUAGCGAACAGGAUUAGAUACCCUAGUAGUC